rnacentral:rRNA from 1 species
GUACCGUGAGGGAAAGGUGAAAAGCACCCCGGAAGGGGAGUGAAACAGUUCCUGAAACCGUGUGCCUACAAGUAGUUAGAGCCCGUUAAUGGGUGAUAGCGUGCCUUUUGUAGAAUGAACCGGCGAGUUACGAUUUGUUGCAAGGUUAAGCGGAAAAAGCGGAGCCGUAGCGAAAGCGAGUCUGAAUAGGGCGCAUAAGUAACAGGUCGUAGACCCGAAACCAGGUGAUCUACCCAUGUCCAGGAUGAAGGUAAGGUAAUACUUACUGGAGGUCCGAACCCACGCACGUUGAAAAGUGCGGGGAUGAGGUGUGGGUAGCGGAGAAAUUCCAAUCGAACUUGGAGAUAGCUGGUUCUCUCCGAAAUAGCUUUAGGGCUAGCCUCGAGGUAAAGAGUCAUGGAGGUAGAGCACUGUUUGGACUAGGGGCCCUUCUCGGGUUACCGAAUUCAGAUAAACUCCGAAUGCCAUGUACUUAUACUCGGGAGUCAGACUGCGAGUGAUAAGAUCCGUAGUCGAAAGGGAAACAGCCCAGACCACCAGUUAAGGUCCCCAAAUAUAUGUUAAGUGGAAAAGGAUGUGGGGUUGCUUAGACAACCAGGAUGUUGGCUUAGAAGCAGCCACCAUUGAAAGAGUGCGUAAUAGCUCACUGGUCGAGUGACCCCGCGCCGAAAAUGUACCGGGGCUAAACAUAUUACCGAAACUGUGGAUGAACCUCUUUAGAGGUUCGUGGUAGGAGAGCGUUCUAAGGGCGGUGAAGUCAGACCGGAAGGACUGGUGGAGCGCUUAGAAGUGAGAAUGCCGGUAUGAGUAGCGAAAGAAGGGUGAGAAUCCCUUCCACCGAAUAUCUAAGGUUU